rnacentral:rRNA from 1 species
GGCUCUCCGAGUGGUGUGGAUGUUUAUUGGGCCUAAAGCAUCCGUAGCUGGCCAAGUUAGUCCCUUGUUAAACCCACCGAAUUAAUCGUUGGCGUGCGGGGGAUACUGCUCGGCUAGGGGACGAGAGAGGCAGACGGUAUUCUCGGGGUAGGGGUGAAAUCCUAUAAUCCCGAGAAGACCACCAGUGGCGAAGGCUGUCUGCUAGAACGCGCCCGACGGUGAGGGAUGAAAGCUGGGGGAGCGAACC